rnacentral:rRNA from 1 species
AUUGAACGCUGGCGGUAGGCCUAACACAUGCAAGUCGAACGGCAGCACAGAGGAGCUUGCUCCUUGGGUGGCGAGUGGCGGACGGGUGAGGAAUACAUCGGAAUCUACUCUGUCGUGGGGGAUAACGUAGGGAAACUUACGCUAAUACCGCAUACGACCUACGGGUGAAAGCAGGGGACCUUCGGGCCUUGCGCGAUUGAAUGAGCCGAUGUCGGAUUAGCUAGUUGGCGGGGUAAAGGCACACCAAGGCGACGAUCCGUAGCUGGUCUGAGAGGAUGAUCAGCCACACUGGAACUGAGACACAGUCCAGACUCCUAAGGGAGGCAGCAGUGGGGAAUAUUGGACAAUGGGCGCAAGCCUGAUCCAGCCAUACCGCGUGGAUGAAGAAGGCCUUCGGGUUGUAAAGCCCUUUUGUUGGGAAAGAAAUCCAGCUGGCUAAUACCCGGUUGGGAUGACGGUACCCAAAGAAUAAGCACCGGCUAACUUCGUGCCAGCCGCCGCGGUAAGAC